ACUUGUGCAGGUUCAGAUUUUCUUGGUCUAUUUCCAUGCAUUUCUCAGAUGAUAGAAGCUUCAGUCCUCUGUUUGAUUGCUUCCAUAUCAGGCUUGAACAUUCUGCUCAACUGCUCAAGAUGAGGGAGAACUUUCUGCCUCUGCAUAACGUCUAUCUUUGCCGAUAUCUUCAAAGGGAUCUUUAUCCUCAUUGUUGAAUGCUCACAAAUCCAUGUUGCUCAAAAUGGUCAUGAGAUUCAGGAUUGCAACCAACAAGUCACAGAAGCCUCCACUCCUGGAAGAAGGGAUCGAUUGAUGAUGUGGUAAUUCCUAUCGAGUCAUUCCAUAUGUAUGAUCCUUUUGGGAUGCUCAUUAAGCAUGAAACAGAAUUCCAGCAGUUGUAGAACUUUGCAUUCAAGCUGAUAGUGGAUGAGCUGUUUCCCCCUAAUUAUGUGUGGCAUGUUCAAGAUCCAAAAGGACCAUGGGAAGGUGAUGAUGAAGUGAAAGUAGAUGAUCUCAAUAAAGCGAUAUUUAAUUCUAAGUGAAUGCUCACAAAUCCAUAUUGCUCAAAAUGGUCAUGAGA